AUAGCGUAUACUAAAGUUGUUGCCGUUAAAAAGCUCGUAGUCGAACUUCGGCCUUUGCCGCCCGGUCCGCCUAUUUGGUGUGUACUGGAGCGGUGGAGGCCUACCUCGUGGUGAAUGGCCAUGCUCUUUACUGGGUGUGGUCGGGAACCAUGACUUUUACCUUGAAAAAAUUAGAGUGUUCAAAGCAGGCUUACGCCCGAAUACAUUAGCAUGGAAUAAUGAAAUAGGACGUGCGGUUCUAUUUUGUUGGUUUCUAGGAUCGCCGUAAUGAUUAAUAGGGAUAGUUGGGGGCAUUCGUAUUCAAUUGCUAGAGGUGAAAUUCUUGGAUUUAUUGAAGACUAACUACUG
rnacentral:rRNA from 1 species